GAUGAACGCUGGCGGCGUGCCUAAUACAUGCAAGUCGAGCGAAUGGAUUAAGAGCUUGCCCUUAUGAAGUUAGCGGCGGACGGGUGAGUAACACGUGGGUAACCUGCCCAUAAGACUGCGAUAACUCCGGGAAACCGGGGCUAAUACCGGUAAACAUUUUGAACCGCAGGGUUCGUAAUUGAAAUGCGGCAUCGGCUGUCACUUAUGGAUGGACCCGGGUCGCAUUCGUUAGUUGGUGAGGUAACGGCUCACCAAGGCAACGAUGCGUAGCCGACCUGAGAGGGUGAUCGGCCACACUGGGACUGGGACACGGCCCAGACUCCUACGGGAGGCAGCAGUAGGGAAUAUUCCGCAAUGGACGAAAGUCUGACGGAGCAACGCCGCGUGAGUGAUGAAGGCUUUCGGGUCGUAAAUCUCUGUUGUUAGGGAAGAACAAGUGCUAGUUGAAUAAGCUGGCUCCUUGACGGUACCUAACCAGAAAGCCACGGCUAACUACGUGCCAGCAGCCGCGGUAA
rnacentral:rRNA from 1 species